rfam:Haemonchus placei strain MHpl1 genome assembly, scaffold: HPLM_scaffold0002893
GGUCCAAACUCAAAGUAGAGUAGUUUAGCAGAGUCAGAUGAUCCUCCGGAUCUACUCUACUUCGAAUUUGGGCCC